rnacentral:lncRNA from 1 species
AAUGUCUAGAAAGUUCUGUCUAAGGAGAGGUUUGGUCACCUAAAUGCGCGCCAAUAAGGAGAAAUUCUUAUUGGAAAGCCCCCUCUUUCCUGGAAACUGUCUGGUUGUCAAUAUUGUGAUUCUGUAAAAUUAUUUGUGAAUAAUUAAUUAUUGAUUCAUAUGAUGAGGAAAAUAUUGAUUUUAUGUGGAUAUAGAUGGAGAAAAUUUUUAAUGUGACAAUUGUUGAAAA